CCUCCCGACGCGCUGCGCAACAGCGCGCGCUGUGCUAGGCUGCUGCUCCGGCUGGAGUGUAGUUUCCUCUACUACCCCCGCCCCCCGCACCCGGUUGGCCGCUGGGAACUCGGUAGGGACGCCAGGUCUGGAUCAAGGUUUGCUGCGGUACUCCUCCUACCUGUACCUGGAGAAGCAUGCCUUGGCUGAUUCUCCAAUCCCAUUAUGCUGAGAGACACAUGUAGCAGAGCCACUCCAGCUGGCCCAGGAACCUGAAGUAAGAAGCAGAUCCACCCAGAAACACUUCUGAGCAUUUGACUUGGCAAAAUCUGCAAAACUGAAGUUACAACCUGCAAGAUAUUUCUAUUCUUCUCCUGAUCAUCAAGUUGCAAAUGCUUCCCAGAGUCAUGAGAGCAUAAAUCCGAUUAUACACAAGGCCAAUGGGAACAAGAUAAUUGCAUAGAUCUAGUACCCAUCCAUUACAUUCAGCAUCAUAAAUCACCGGACUGCCACAACCUCAGCUUUCUGGAAUCCCUGUGUUGUUUGAAAUAUUCUACUAUUACCAUUUAUGGAAGAAAAAUAUUACACUGUCUUUGCCUGAAGUGCUAGCAAAAUAAAAUUUAAAAUUUAA